rnacentral:rRNA from 1 species
UACGUAGGGGGCGAGCGUUGUCCGGAUUCAUUGGGCGUAAAGAGCUCGUAGGCGGCUUGGCAAGUCAGGUGUGAAAUCUCGGGGCUCAACCCCGAAACUGCACUUGAUACUGCUGUGCUCGAGUACUGGAGAGGAGAUUGGAAUUUCCGGUGUAGCAGUGAAAUGCGUAGAUAUCGUAAGGAAGACCAGUGGCGAAGGCGGCUCACUGGACUGGUACUGACGCUGAUGCGCGAAAGCGUGGGGAGCAAACAGG